rnacentral:rRNA from 1 species
CAGCGCCACAAGUGGCAAUCACGUUUAUUGGGCCUAAAGCGUCCGUAGCCGGUUUAGCAAAUCUUUUGUGAAAUCGUCAGGCUUAACUUGACGAAUUGCAGAAGACACUACUAAACUAGGGACUGGGAGGAGUCAGAAGUAUUCUGGGGGGACCGGUAAAAUGGUAUAAUCCCCAGAGGACUACCGAUGGCGAAGGCAUCUGACCAGAACAGAUCCGACGGUGAGGGACGAAAGCCAGGGGAGCAAACCGGAUUAGAGACCCGAGUAGUCC